rnacentral:rRNA from 1 species
CCUACGGGGGGCAGCAGUGGGGAAUAUUGGACAAUGGGGGGAACCCUGAUCCAGCCAUGCCGCGUGUGUGAAGAAGGCCUUAUGGUUGUAAAGCACUUUAAGCGAGGAGGAGGCUACUGAGACUAAUACUCUUGGAUAGUGGACGUUACUCGCAGAAUAAGCACCGGCUAACUCUGUGCCAGCAGCCGCGGUAAUACAGAGGGUGCGAGCGUUAAUCGGAUUUACUGGGCGUAAAGCGUGCGUAGGCGGCUUUUUAAGUCGGAUGUGAAAUCCCCGAGCUUAACUUGGGAAUUGCAUUCGAUACUGGGAAGCUAGAGUAUGGGAGAGGAUGGUAGAAUUCCAGGUGUAGCGGUGAAAUGCGUAGAGAUCUGGAGGAAUACCGAUGGCGAAGGCAGCCAUCUGGCCUAAUACUGACGCUGAGGUACGAAAGCAUGGGGAGCAAACAGGAUUAGAUACCCGGGUAGUC